rnacentral:rRNA from 1 species
GAUGAACGCUGGCGGCGUACCUAAUACAUGCAAGUCGAGCGAACAGACGAGGAGCUUGCUCCUCUGACGUUAGCGGCGGACGGGUGAGUAACACGUGGAUAACCUACCUAUAAGACUGGGAUAACUUCGGGAAACCGGAGCUAAUACCGGAUAAUAUAUUGAACCGCAUGGUUCAAUAGUGAAAGACGGUUUUGCUGUCACUUAUAGAUGGAUCCGCGCCGCAUUAGCUAGUUGGUAAGGUAACGGCUUACCAAGGCGACGAUGCGUAGCCGACCUGAGAGGGUGGUCGGCCACACGGGAACUGAGACACGGUCCAGACUCCUACGGGAGGCAGCAGUAGGGAAUGUUCCGCAAUGGGCGAAAGCCUGACGGAGCAACGCCGCGUGAGUGAUGAAGGUCUUCGGAUCGUAAAACUCUGUUAUUAGGGAAGAACAAAUGUGUAAGUAACUAUGCACGUCUUGACGGUACCUAAUCAGAAAGCCACGGCUAACUACGUG